AACGAACGCUGGCGGCAUGCCUAACACAUGCCAGUCGAACGAGACCUUCGGGUCUAGUGGCGCACGGGUGCGUAACGCGUGGGAACCUGCCCUUAGGUUCGGAAUAACUCCCCGAAAGGGGUGCUAAUACCGGAUAAUGUCUUCGGACCAAAGAUUUAUCGCCUUUGGAUGGGCCCGCGUUGGAUUAGCUAGUUGGUAGGGUAAAAGCCUACCAAGGCGACGAUCCAUAGCUGGUCUGAGAGGAUGAUCAGCCACACUGGGACUGAGACACGGCCCAGACUCCUACGGGAGGCAGCAGUGGGGAAUAUUGGACAAUGGGCGAAAGCCUGAUCCGGCAAUGCCGCGUGAGUGAUGAAGGCCUUAGGGUUGUAAAGCUCUUUUACCCGGGAUGAUAAUGACAGUACCGGGAGAAUAAGCGCCGGCUAACUCCGUG
rnacentral:rRNA from 1 species